CGCCGAGUCGCGGGAAAGGGAGCCUGGUGGCGGUGACGUGUUGGGCGAAUUCUGCGGAGACAGGCGUCGCCAUGACAACGGGCUCCGGCGCACGCUGCCGCUGCAGCUCGCUUCAGCGCCGCAGCCGGCCGGACCGAAUUUCAGCCAGUAGCCCAUCGUGUCGUGGUCCGGCCACUCGCGCCGCUUUUCCGUCGAGUCGCGGGUUUUUCGCGCGUGUUCAACCGUGCGCCAGGAUGUGAGGAAGAGCAGCCGUAAUUUCCACCGGCGCGCUCCAUCGGACUACACUCUUUUCAGCCAAGGUUUCGGCGGGUUCCGGGGCGGGCUUGAAUGCAGGAGGGCGAGCGGGAGAAUGCGGAGGUGCGUGAGGAGUGCGGAGCAGAGAAACCGCGACAACGGUCGCGGAGCAGGGACAAAGAGAAGGAGAGCGAGGAGCCGGCGGCGGAGGCCCUCGGGUGGGACAUCGACGCCGACCUGGAGCUCACCGGGGAGGGCGACGCCAAGCUCUCCCUCCAGAGGAUGCUCUCGGCCGGACACAACCAGCCCAGCCCGGCCGCCCUCCGCAGGCGUCUCCACCACCCCCCAAGACGCUCCGCUACCAUGACCUUCCAGCAAACGUGGCGGAGCAGCACAUCUGACAUCGAAGCUCUCUCUCAAAGAAGUCCAUCAUCAUCAAGGUAAGAAAGUAAGGCUGAAUCAUCCAUUUGCCAUUCUUAAAAUCGUCUAACUGUUAAUUUCUAUCGAGCUUUAAUUAUUUUACCUUCGAAGCUCACGACAAAUCGGAUUCCUCCCCUUUUCUACAAACGGCAUCUCUUACAAUCAAAUUAAAAUAAAAUCUCUGUGAUAAUUCCCUAUUGUAACUCCGAAC
rnacentral:lncRNA from 1 species